rnacentral:rRNA from 1 species
AGGACAAACGCUGGCGGCGUGCAUAAAACAUGCAAGUCGGACGAGCCAAUCCCCGCAAGGGGAAAGGCUAGUGGCGAACGGCUGAGUAACACGUAGGUGAUCUGCCCUGAAGUGGGGGAUAACGACCCGAAAGAGUCGCUAAUACCGCAUGUGACCACCGAUCCGUUUUCGGUGCUCAAAGUCGUAAGACGCUUUAGGAGGAGCCUGCGGCGGAUUAGCUAGUUGGUGAGGUAAUGGCCCACCAAGGCUUCGAUCCGUAGCUGGUCUGAGAGGAUGGCCAGCCAGACUGGGACUGAGACACGGCCCAGACUCCUACGGGAGCAGCAGUUAGGAAUUUUGCGCAAGUGGGGG